rnacentral:rRNA from 1 species
UACGGGGGGGGCAAGCGUUGUUCGGAAUUACUGGGCGUAAAGGGCGCGUAGGCGGCAAGGCAAGUCAGGUGUGAAAGCCCCGAGCUUAACUCGGGAAUUGCAUCUGAAACUGCUGUGCUUGAGUUCUGGAGGGGGUAGUGGAAUUCCCAGUGUAGCGGUGAAAUGCGUAGAUAUCGGGAGGAACACCAGUGGCGAAGGCGACUACCUGGCCUGUUCUUGACGCUGAGGCGCGAAAGCUAGGGGAGCAAACGGG